UACGUAGGGGGGCAAGCGUUUGUCCGGAUUUAUUGGGCGUAAAGAGCGUGUAGGCGGUUUGGUAGGUCCGCUGUGAAAACUCGAGCUCAACCUCGAGACGCCGGUGGAAACCAUCAGACUAGAGUCCGGAAGAGGAGAGUGGAAUUCCUGGUGUAGCGGUGAAAUGCGUAGAUAUCUGGAGGAACACCGGUGGCGAAGGCGGCAUCCUGGACCGGCAUUGACGCUGAGGCGCGAAAGCCAGGGGGA
rnacentral:rRNA from 1 species